CUUGGUGCUUGCACCGAGCGGAUGAGUUGCGAACGGGUGAGUAACGCGUAGGUAACCUGCCUGGUAGCGGGGGAUAACUAUUGGAAACGAUAGCUAACACCGCAUAAUAGUAGAUGUUGCAUGACAUUUGCUUAAAAGGUGCAAUUGCAUCACUACCAGAUGGACCUGCGUUGUAUUAGCUAGUUGGUGAGGUAACGGCUCACCAAGGCAACGAUACAUAGCCGACCUGAGAGGGUGAUCGGCCACACUGGGACUGAGACACGGCCCAGACUCCUACGGGAGGCAGCAGUAGGGAAUCUUCGGCAAUGGACGGAAGUCUGACCGAGCAACGCCGCGUGAGUGAAGAAGGUUUUCGGAUCGUAAAGCUCUGUUGUAAGAGAAGAACGAGUGUGAGAGUGGAAAGUUCACACUGUGACGGUAUCUUACCAGAAAGGGACGGCUAACUACGUGCCAGCAGCCGCGGUAAUACGUAGGUCCCGAGCGUUGUCCGGAUUUAUUGGGCGUAAAGCGAGCGCAGGCGGUUAGAUAAGUCUGAAGUUAAAGGCUGUGGCUUAACCAUAGUACGCUUUGGAAACUGUUUAACUUGAGUGCAAGAGGGGAGAGUGGAAUUCCAUGUGUAGCGGUGAAAUGCGUAGAUAUAUGGAGGAACACCGGUGGCG
rnacentral:rRNA from 1 species